rnacentral:snRNA from 1 species
GUGCUCACUUCGACAGCACAUAUACUAAAAUUGGAACAAUUCAGAGAAGAUUAGCAUGGGCCCCUGAGCAAGAAUGACAUACAAAUCUGAUAGAAAGAUCUUCCAUGC